rnacentral:rRNA from 1 species
UACAGAGGUCCCAAGCGUUGUUCGGAUUCACUGGGCGUAAAGGGUGCGUAGGCGGUCGGGUAAGUCUGACGUGAAAUCUUCAAGCUCAACUUGGAAACUGCGUCCGAUACUAUUCGGCUAGAGGAAUGGAGGGGAGACUGGAAUACUUGGUGUAGCAGUGAAAUGCGUAGAUAUCAAGAGGAACACCAGUGGCGAAGGCGAGUCCCUGGACAACACCUGACACUGAGGCACGAAAGCUAGGGGAGCAAACAGG